UACGUAGGGGGCAAGCGUUGUCCGGAUUUAUUGGGCGUAAAGAGCGUGUAGGCGGCUAGGUAGGUCCGUUGUGAAAACUGGAGGCUCAACCUUCAGAGGUCGACCGAAACCAUCUGGCUAGAGUCCGGGAGAGGAGAGUGGAAUUCCUGGUGUAGCGGUGAAAUGCGCAGAUAUCAGGAAGAACACCCGUGGCGAAAGCGGCUCUCUGGAACGGUACUGACGCUGAGACGCGAAAGCGUGGGGAGCGAACAGG
rnacentral:rRNA from 1 species